rnacentral:rRNA from 1 species
AUUGAACGCUGGCGGCAUGCUUUACACAUGCAAGUCGAACGGUAACAGGGAGCUUGCUCCGCUGACGAGUGGCGAACGGGUGAGUAAUGCGUCGGAACGUGCCGAGUAGUGGGGGAUAACGCAGCGAAAGUUGUGCUAAUACCGCAUACGUACUGAGGUAGAAAGUGGGGGACCUUCGGGCCUCACGCUAUUCGAGCGGCCGACGUCUGAUUAGCUAGUAGGUGAGGUAAAGGCUCACCUAGGCGACGAUCAGUAGCGGGUCUGAGAGGAUGAUCCGCCACACUGGGAGUGAGACACGGCCCAGACUCCUACGGGAGGCAGGAGUGGGGAAUUUUGGACAAUGGGCGAAAGCCUGAUCCAGCCAUGCCGGGUGUCUGAAGAAGGCCUUCGGGUUGUAAAGGACUUUUGUCGGGGAGGAAAUCCCCAGCGCUAAUACCGCUGGGGGAUGACAGUACCUGAAGAAUAAGCACCGGCUAACUACGUGCCAGCCGCCGCCGUAACAC